CUAAUACAUGCGCAAGGUCCCGAGCGCGGGGGGUGGGGCUUCACGGCUCCAUUCUCGCAUGCGCAGAGGGAUGUAUUUAUUAGGUUAAAAACCAGCGUAGUCAGCAAUGGCUACAAACUCCCCUGGUGAUUCAUAGUAACUCUUUCGGAUCGCAUUCAUGUCCUCCUUCGU
rnacentral:rRNA from 1 species